ensembl:lncRNA
CCCUGCCCCAGCACCCCUGGGACCCCCCCCACUGUGGGGACAUGGCCCCCAGCACCACCCCCCCCCAGCCUGGGGGUCCGGAGGAGAACGUGCAGAGCCUGGGGGUGGAUGGGAGCAGCUUCCAGGAGCUCCAAGGCUGUGGAUCCACGUUGGAGAACAUCUUCCACAUGUCCGUGGAUGGGAAUGUCCCACCCAAGCCCAUGGAUAAGAGCAACUUCCAGGAGCUCCAAGGCCAUGGAUCUACAUUUGAGAGCAUCUUCCACGUGUCCAUAGGGGGGAACAUCCCACCCAAGCCUGUGCUCAUGGAUGGGAGCAUCUUCCACACGUCCAUGGAUGGGUCCAUCCCACCCAAUUCCAUGCCCAUGGAUAAGAACAUCCCACCCCAGUCCAUGCCUAUGGAUGGGAGCACUUUCCAUGAGGACCAAGGCCACAGAUCCACACACAGGAGCAUCUCCCUCGUGCCUUCAGGUGGGGCCAUCUCCCCGAAAUCCGUGCCUGUGGACAAGAACAUCCCACCCGAGUCCUUACCCUUGGAUGGGAGCGUCUUUCAGGAGGACCAAGGCUGUGGAUUCAUUUUUGGGAGCAUCUUCCAUGUGUCCACGGGUGGGAGCAUCUCCCCCAGGUCCAUGGCUGUGGGUGGGAGCAGCUCCCCCACGUCCAUGCCCACGGAUCAGGGAAUCUCUCAGGAACAUGUGACUGUGGAUGGGACCAUCUCACCCAAGCCCGUGGCCAUGGAUGAGACCAACUCGUGCACAGGCAGGAGCAUCUCAGGGGAGACUGUGCCAGAGGGUGGGACCAUCUCACACAUGUCCAUGUCCACGGAUGUGCCAAAGGAUGGGACCGUCUCACCCAAGUCUGUGCCCAUGGGUAGGACGGUCUCUCAGGAGAACGUAGAUUCGAUCAUCUCACCCGAGUCUAUGACCAUGGAUGGGCCAAAUUUGCCCAAAUCUGUGCCUGUGGAUGAGACCAUCUCACCCAAAUCUGUGCCCGUGGAUGGGACCAUCUCACCCAAAUCUGUGCCCGUGGAUGGGACCAUCUCACCCAAAUCUGUGCCUGUGGAUGGGACCAUCUCACCCAAAUCUGUGCCCGUGGAUGGGACCAUCUCACCCACGUUCAUGCCCAUGGGUGGGACCAUCUCUCCAGAGGAUGUGCCCAUGGACACAACAAUCCCAUCUACGCCCACGACCAUGGAUAGGACCAUCCCAUCCAGGUUCACGACCACAGAUGGGACCAUCUCACCCAAAUUCGUGCCCACGGAUGGGACCAUCUCUCAGGAGCACCUGACCAUGGAUUUGACCAUCUCGGCCAAGUCCGUGACCAUGGAUGAGACCCACCUGUCCAAGACUGUGACGAUGGACGGGACCAUCUUGCCCAAAACUGUGCCCACGGGUGGGACCACACCCCCUGAGGCCCGAGCCCCCGAACGCGGCAAAGAGGAGAAGAGUGAGGAUGAUGAGGUUGAGGAGGAGGAGGAUGACGACGAUGACCACGGCAGCACCUCCCCAGAGGAAGAUGCCGAGGACGAGGAGGACCUGGAGGAGGAGGAGGAGCCCCAGUUCCACACCAACCCCCUGUUCCAGAGCCGGCUGGUGGCCCUUGGGGGGGCCCAGGGGGUGCCCCUUUACCGAACCCACAGCGCCGCCUUCGCCGAGGGGGGGGACACCANNNNNNNNNNNNNNNNNNNNNNNNNNNNNNNNNNNNNNNNNNNNNNNNNNNNNNNNNNNNNNNNNNNNNNNNNNNNNNNNNNNNN